AGGUAGAGAAUACCAAGGCGCUUGAGAGAACUCGGGUGAAGGAACUAGGCAAAAUGGUGCCGUAACUUCGGGAGAAGGCACGCUGAUAUGUAGGUGAAGCGACUUGCUCGUGGAGCUGAAAUCAGUCGAAGAUACCAGCUGGCUGCAACUGUUUAUUAAAAACACAGCACUGUGCAAACACGAAAGUGGACGUAUACGGUGUGACGCCU
rnacentral:rRNA from 1 species